UACAGAGGGUGCGAGCGUUAAUCGGAAUUACUGGGCGUAAAGCGUGCGUAGACGGUUAUGUAAGUCAGAUGUGAAAGCCCCGGGCUUAACCUGGGAAUGGCAUUUGAGACUGCAUAGCUAGGGUGCGGAAGAGGGAAGCGGAAUUUCCGGUGUAGCGGUGAAAUGCGUAGAUAUCGGAAGGAACACCAGUGGCGAAAGCGGCUUCCUGGUCCAGCACCGACGUUCAGGCACGAAAGCGUGGGGAGCAAACAGG
rnacentral:rRNA from 1 species